ensembl:snRNA U6 U6 spliceosomal RNA
GUGCUCGUUUUGGCAGCACAUAUGGUAAAAUUGAAACGAUACGGAGAAGAUUAGCAUGGCCCCCGUGCAAGGAUGACACGGAAAUUCGUGAAGCAUUCUGUAUUAAA